UGGGGAAUCUUGGACAAUGGGCGCAAGCCUGAUCCAGCCAUGCCGCGUGAGUGAAGAAGGCCUUAGGGUUGUAAAACUCUUUCGCCGGAGAAGAUAAUGACGGUAUCCGGAGAAGAAGCCCCGGCUAACUUCGUGCCAGCAGCCGCGGUAAUACGAAGGGGGCUAGCGUUGUUCGGAAUUACUGGGCGUAAAGCGCACGUAGGCGGGUUUGUAAGUAGGGGGUGAAAUCCCAGGGCUCAACCCUGGAACUGCCUUCUAAACUGCAAGCCUGGAGGUCAGGAGAGGCGAGUGGAAUACCGAGUGUAGAGGUGAAAUUCGUAGAUAUUCGGUGGAACACCAGUGGCGAAGGCGACUCGCUGGACUGAUACUGACGCUGAGGUGCGAAAGCGUGGGGAGCAAACA
rnacentral:rRNA from 1 species